AGAGUUUGAUCCUGGCUCAGGAUGAACGCUAGCGACAGGCUUAACACAUGCAAGUCGAGGGGCAGCGAGGGAGUGGCAACACUUCUGUCGGCGACCGGCGCACGGGUGAGUAACGCGUAUGCAACCUGCCCUUCACAGGGGGAUAACCGGGAGAAAUUCCGACUAAUACCGCAUACGUCCUCCGGGGGCAUCCCCGGGGGAUGAAAGAGUUGUCGGUGAAGGAUGGGCAUGCGUGAUAUUAGGUAGUUGGCGGGGCAACGGCCCACCAAGCCCACGAUAUCUAGGGGUUCUGAGAGGAAGGUCCCCCACAUUGGUACUGAGACACGGACCAAACUCCUACGGGAGGCAGCAGUGAGGAAUAUUGGUCAAUGGACGAGAGUCUGAACCAGCCAAGUCGCGUGAAGGAAGACGGAUCUAUGGUUUGUAAACUUCUUUAGUGCGGGAACAAAGCGGCGUCGUGACGCCUGAUGAGUGUACCGCAAGAAUAAGCAUCGGCUAACUCCGUGCCAGCAGCCGCGGUAAUACGGAGGAUGCGAGCGUUAUCCGGAUUUAUUGGGUUUAAAGGGAGCGCAGACGGGAGAUUAAGUCAGUUGUGAAAGUUUGCGGCUCAACCGUAAAAUUGCAGUUGAUACUGGUUUCCUUGAGUGCAGUUGAGGCAGGCGGAAUUCGUGGUGUAGCGGUGAAAUGCUUAGAUAUCACGAAGAACUCCGAUUGCGAAGGCAGCUCACUGGAGUGUAACUGACGCUGAUGCUCGAAAGUGUGGGUAUCAAACAGGAUUAGAUACCCUGGUAGUCCACACAGUAAACGAUGAAUACUCGCUGUUUGCGAUAUACAGUAAGCGGCCAAGCGAAAGCGUUAAGUAUUCCACCUGGGGAGUACGCCGGCAACGGUGAAACUCAAAGGAAUUGACGGGGGCCCGCACAAGCGGAGGAACAUGUGGUUUAA
rnacentral:rRNA from 1 species